rnacentral:piRNA from 1 species
UAGAAGAAAUUGUGCCAUGGGAUGUCCAU